AGUUAGGUACAGCACACAGAACAUUGCUAAAUUCUAGUCCUGCCUCAUCGAUUUGAAAUGAGAAAUGAGCAGACAAAAGACGAAAAAGAUUGACGCUCAGGACUGCCACAUAUAGAAACAACUGCAACGAUUAAAUGCCUAAGGUCUAAUUAGUUAGUGAACAAUUGCUGAAGCCUGUAACCGGAGAUUUGUGCGUUAAACAUAUUACAUCAGACUACACAGACUUUUAUGAGCAAACUGAGAAUCGCCAGGACACAGAAGCAAAGGGCCCCUUCUAUUCGGUUUUUGGCAAAAAGCUUGAGUGUUGAUUGUUGAACAUUGGCCUCUAGAUAAACUAUGAACUUUUUGAAACACAGGGCGUUUGUUAUUUUUCUGAUGUGAGUUGGCAACAUAUGAUCAAUCGUUGGUCUGUUUUAUAGUUACUUUAAUGUGUACAUUUUCAAUUCUGUUAAGUCUUUUAAGUAUAAGGUUGCUUUCUUUUGUUUUACCUUCAUGUCAUCUUUCGACUUCUCGCAGCUGCAGUCUUCCUAUUUGCCCUCAUCCUUCGCUCUCCUGGCCCUUUUCUAUAGAGUUCAUCUCUUUACCCGACUUGUCACUGACUUCCUAUUUUCUAUUUAAAGCUCUCACACGUACGGCCUCUAUGUGUGCAAUAUAUCUCUUUAUCCAACUUCUCAUCGUCUUCCUACUCUCUCUCUAUCCCUCUCCCUCUAUAUCCCUCUCUCUCUCUCUCUCUCUCAGGUCCUCAGUCCUCCUUCUCCUCUUCAGUCCUCCUACUCCUCAUCCUCUUCAGUCCUCCUACUUCUCCUCAGUCCUCGUAUGUACAAUAACUUCUCAGUCCUCCUCAUCAGUCCUCUUGCUCAUCCUCCUACUCAGUUCUCCUCCUGAGUCCUCCUAUAAUGUACGAUUCCUUCUCUGUCCUUCUCCUCCUCUUCAGUCCUCAUACUCCUCCUCCUCAGUCCUCGUAUGUAUGAUACCUUCUCAGUCCUCCUUAUCCUCCUUUUCCUCCUCCUCAAUCCUCCUCCUCCCCAGUCUUUCUCAGUCCUCCUUCUUAUCUUCAUCCCCCUACUCUUCCUCCUCCCCAGUUCUCCUCCUCUUUCUCUUCCUCCUCCUCAGUCCUCCCCCUCCUCCCCAGUCGUCCUCCUCUUUCUCAGUCCUCGUAUGUACGAUACCUUCUCAGACCUUUUCCUUGUCCUCCUCAUCAGUCCUCCUCCUCCUCCUCCUGCUCAGUUUUCCUCGUCCUCCGUGUCUUUCUCCUCGUCCUCCUCUUUUUCAGUCCCUCUCAGUCGAGUCCUCCUCAGUCCUCCUCUUCCUCAGUCCUCGUAUGUACCAUACCUUCUCAGACCGUUUCCUCGUCCUCCUCAUCAGUCCUCGUCCUCCUCCUGCUCAGUUUUCCUCGUCCUCCUCUUACUCAGUCCCUCUCAGUCCUCCUCCUCCUCAGUCCUCGUGUGUAUGAUACCUUCUCAGUUCUCGUAUUACAUUUAAAUUUGUUUGACAUCGUAUAUAUUUAAAAGACUCGACCUUAUAAGUUUAAAUAGGUCCUAUAGUGCAGUAAUUAGAAGAUAUUGC